rnacentral:rRNA from 1 species
GACGAACGCUGGCGGCGUGCCUAAUACAUGCAAGUCGAACGAACCGCUACUAGGCGCUUGCAUUUGGUGAAGGCGAGUGGCGAACGGGUGAGUAACAGGUGGGUAACCUACCUCACAGGGGGGGAUAACAGAAGGAAACGACUGUUAAGACCGCAAAUUACAUAGGAACACAUGAACAAGGAAGGAAAGUUGGCGCAAGCCAUCGAUAAGAGCUGGACCCGCGGUGCAUUAGCUAGUUGGUAGGGUAAAGGCCUACCAAGGCGACGAUGCAUAGCCGACCUGAGAGGGUGAUCGGCCACAUUGGGACUGAGACACGGCCCAAACUCCUACGGGAGGCAGCAGUAGGGAAUCUUCCGCAAAGGGCGCAAGCCUGACGGAGCAACGCCGCGUGAGUGAAGAAGGUCUUCGGAUCGUAAAGCUCUGUUGUUAGGGAAGAACAGCGCAUAGAGUAACUGUUAUGCGUGUGACGGUAUCUAACCAGAAAGCCACGGCUAACUACGUG